CUACUCCACCCAUGUGACUUACCUUUGUUGCCUCGGCGGAGCCUACCCUGUAGCUACCCUGCUAAGGGUGUUACCCUGUAGCGCCCCGCCGGUGGAUUUCAAACUCUUGUUAUUUUAAAUGAAUCUGAGCGUCUUAUUUUAAUAAGUCAAAACUUUCAACAACGGAUCUCUUGGUUCUGGCAUCGAUGAAGAACGCAGCGAAAUGCGAUAAGUAAUGUGAAUUGCAGAAUUCAGUGAAUCAUCGAAUCUUUGAACGCACAUUGCGCCCAUUAGUAUUCUAGUGGGCAUGCCUGUUCGAGCGUCAUUUCAACCCUUAAGCCUAUGCUUAGUGUUGGGAAUCUACUGUAUUGUAGUUCCUGAAAAACAACGGCGGAACUUCAGUGUCCUYUGAGCGUAGUAAUUCUUUUCUCGCUUUUGUUAGGUGCUGUAGCUCUUGCCGCUAAACCCCCAAUUUUUAAUGGUUGACCUCGGAUCAGGUAGGAAUACCCGCUGAACUUAAGCAUAUCAAUAAGCGGAGGAAA
rnacentral:rRNA from 1 species